CGUUGCCUACGGGAGGCAGCAGUGGGGAAUAUUGCACAAUGGGGGGAACCCUGAUGCAGCGACGCCGCGUGAGUGAAGAAGUAUUUCGGUAUGUAAAGCUCUAUCAGCAGGGAAGAAAAUGACGGUACCUGACUAAGAAGCCCCGGCUAACUACGUGCCAGCAGCCGCGGUAAUACGUAGGGGGCAAGCGUUAUCCGGAUUUACUGGGUGUAAAGGGAGCGUAGACGGCAGUGCAAGUCCGGAGUGAAAGCCCGGGGCUCAACCCUGGGACUGCUCUGGAGAAUGUAAAGCUG
rnacentral:rRNA from 1 species